rnacentral:rRNA from 1 species
AAAGAUUAAGCCAUGCAUGUCUAAGUAUAAGCAAUUAUACGGCGAAACUGCGAAUGGCUCAUUAUAUAAGUUAUCGUUUAUUUGAUAGUACUUUACUACUUGGAUAACCGUGGUAAUUCUAGAGCUAAUACAUGCUAAAAAUCCCGACUUCGGAAGGGAUGUAUUUAUUAGAUUAAAAACCAAUGCCCUUUGGGCUCCUUGGUGAAUCAUGAUAACUUCUCGAAUCGCAUGGCCUUGCGCCGGCGAUGGUUCAUUCAAAUUUCUUCCCUAUCAACUUUCGAUGUUUGGGUAUUGGCCAAACAUGGUCG